GUAGGGAAUCUUCCACAAUGGACGAAAGUCUGAUGGAGCAACGCCGCGUGAGUGAAGAAGGUCUUCGGAUCGUAAAACUCUGUUGUUAGAGAAGAACGUGCAUGAUAGUAACUGAUCAUGUAAUGACGGUAUCUAACCAGAAAGCCACGGCUAACUACGUGCCAGCAGCCGCGGUAAUACGUAGGUGGCAAGCGUUGUCCGGAUUUAUUGGGCGUAAAGGGAACGCAGGCGGUUUUUUAAGUCUGAUGUGAAAGCCUUCGGCUUAACCGAAGAAUAGCAUUGGAAACUGGAAGACUUGAGUGCAGAAGAGGAGAGUGGAAUUCCAUGUGUAGCGGUGAAAUGCGUAGAUAUAUGGAGGAACACCAGUGGCGAAGGCGCCUUUCUGGACUGUGUCUGACGCUGAGAUGCGAAAGCCAGGGUAGCGAACGGGAUUAGAAACCCUUGUAGUCC
rnacentral:rRNA from 1 species